AGAUCAUGACCUGAGCCAAAGUCGGACGCUUAACCUACUGAGCCACCCGGGCAUCCCAGUCUAUCAGCUAUUUAAAUAUGUGUUCCAAAAUCAUCGCCUGUGGACCCAAGUGGGCUGGGUGCUCCGCUAGAAUGUUAAACAGACACUUCCUUUAGGCUUUGUGGCCAGAUUUGUGGGCAACAGAUUCUUCCUCCUCUCUGAUGGAGAUUUUGUAAAAUUUUAAUAGCAUUCUUUAGGAAAUCUCCUUUCUUCGCCGACUAUUAUUUGCCUAACACCCUUAGCUCUCAAGCUUUGGGAACUGGGAGGAAAUCACACCCUUUUGCAUUUAGUUAAAGAGUUCCUGGCUCCCUUCCCGAGUCUUUGAAAGGGGCUUUGAAAGUGGAUUUGUGUAAUUUAAGUGGAGCAAAACCACGGGUUACUUGGAAAAUGGAAGCUCGCAGACGACAUGCUUAUGAGGAAGGGUUGCCCAACCCACCCCCCUCACAGAAGAGAUACCGUGACCACGAACAGAGUGGCACAUUUGCCGCCUGUUGGUCACAGGGGAAAGUGGCUAGAUUGGCUUUGGUGAAAAUUCAGUGGUGACCCCCUUCUGCCUCCAGGUCAACAGAGAGCAAGCCCAUGGGUCCUAAAGACUUUAGAUGCAAAAGGCCAAGGGAUCACCACGGCAGGGUCUGCCCUGGGGGAGAAGGGGAGAAGAAAAGGGGGGAAAAUGAGUUUCAAGACCUUCUGAAGGACCUUCAUUCAUUUCUCGGGUUAAUGGCUAUAAAUGGAGGCAACUGUGGUUAGUUUACCUCGGGAAAGGGCUUUUAAGGAAUAUUCCCAAGCAGCUGCGGAAACCCCCUUUGUUUCAGGGAAAUUCCCUGUCUUCUCUGGCUUGACAAGGACUGCCUAGUUCCACCUGUUGGCGGGAAAAACCCGCACCAGCUCAUCUGUCUGAGCUGAUGGAGUUUAAGACCGGGAGACCUCCUUCUCUGUCCUCUGGACUUUUACCGGCCUCCAGCCCGCCUGCUGGGCCAACACCUCUUUCGCUUCCCGCCCCCCUCCUCCUGUUUCUGCACCACUUGGGGUGUGGCCUGCCUACCGUCCUCAGGGCCUGAGGCACCAUCGGCUCCUCCUCCCACCCUCGUGUCGGCACCCACUUCGGAUCUCCCCACCAGUGUCUCAGAAAGAGACCUGCCGGACUUUCCUCGACCCUUCUGCCAUGGGAGGACACAAAGACCUGGAAGAAGACCUUCAUUCAACCAUGCUGGCACCCCGAUCUUGGACGUCCCAGUCUCCAGAACCGUACAAAUGGAGUCCUACAACAUGACAGCCAUGACCAAUUCCAAGAACACCGCUUUGUGCUGAGACGCCGAAUGAUGCAGAGCAGAAUGAUGCACUAAAAACGACCAAAUACGGACCUCCCGGCUUAUCCACACAGCUGACUUUUCCAGAACACCCUGCAUGGCUUUCGAGUGGAAGAUCAGGAAAUGAGACAAAUCUUAAUCUCAAAACUGGAUGGGGGCGCUCGGUCGGUUAAGUGGGUGACUCUUGGUUUCUGCUCAGGUCAUGAUCUCACAGUUUGGUGAGUUUCAGCCCCGCGUCAGGCUCCACGCCGGCGGAGACCGUGA